UUUGAACAAAGAAUUAGCUAGUGAGUUGACAAAGUAAUACAUUCUGAGUGGGAGACAAGGACAGCCCAUUUUGCAUCCAUCUUUUGCAGCAAGUCAAAAAGCGUGUAGGGGAAGCACAUGAUCUCCAUAGUCAAACAAAGCUACCCAUAUACUCUGCAAAAGAAGCAUAGUAAAUACGAUAAAUUCCGCUUUGAAAACUUGAACUUGGAGGACUCUAGAGGCCUUGUUUUGGACACAAAGGGUACUUUUGUCACAAAACCGCAACAUCAAAUGGAAAAUCCUGCAAACGAGUACAUAUAGAAUUAGGUAAGAGAAGAAAAAGAAGCGCCCACCAUACCCCCAACAGGCCGUACAACACCAUGCACGCUAAUGCACCCGCUUUCUACAAAAAGCCACUCCCAAUAUAUUCAAAAGCCAUGACAAAAAUAUCUCUCUUCUUCAUUCUACAAAGGCUUCUGCACUUCGCUCUCUCUCUCUCUCUCUCUAGGGUUUCUCAGGGGCCUUGUUGCAGAACCAAUUUGGCAUUCUGUCCACCUCCAUCAAGUGUGAGUAUAAGCUUUUGGAGGUGGCCAGCAUGUCAAAUGGGUUCUGUAAAUUUCUCUCUGAGAAACCCCAUAAGAAGAAAAACUCCUUAAUGAGAAUCAGGUUGCUGAAACUCAAAUUAUUGCAUGUCUGUCAUAUUUUGUUUGUUUACUUUUAUAAACAUAUAUAGUAAUUUAAAUUUAUAUAUAUAGUUGUUUUGUGGGAUUGGUUUGUGGGGUCUGGUUUUCUUCUGCAGAAGUUGUUUUGCAUUAGUUUUCUGAGAAGUGUUCUAGUUUUAUAACUAGAGAGAACUGUAAAGUUGUUUUUCAUUCAUCAAAAAAAAUUUAUAUAUAUAGUUAGGUUUACAAAUAUAGUUACACUCCCAAGUGUGUUAUCUAUGCAGGCAUACUUUUUUUUUUCUUCUUGUUUUUUUGAUGAGUUACGCAAGGCAUACCUAUAAAUUAAGUUGGUCUUUGAAAAUAUCCAGCCGGUUCCCUCUGUAUUAUUGAAGUUGAUUCAAUCUUCCACUC
rnacentral:precursor_RNA from 1 species